GACGACGCCCUCGACGUUGUCCGCGCUGCUGACCUCGCUGGCGUUGGCCAUGUGGCAGUCAUCUACGAUUCUGGCGCCUCCGGUCCCUCAUCAGCCACGUCCACGUACAACGUGCUGGACGGGAUCACCUCCUUUUUCAAUAACAUCUUCUCAGGGCCAGGGCGGCUGACGGUUGAGGAGUUUCUAGCGAAGCUGGUGGAGACUGACGUGAGCUAUA
rnacentral:misc_RNA from 1 species